AGAGUUUGAUCCUGGCUCAGAACGAACGCUGGCGGCAGGCUUAACACAUGCAAGUCGAACGCCCCGCAAGGGGAGUGGCAGACGGGUGAGUAACACGUGGGAAUAUGCCCCAAGGUACGGAACAACGCCGGGAAACUGGCGCUAAUACCGUAUGUGGCCGAGAGGCGAAAGAUUUAUCGCCUUGGGAUUAGCCCGCGUUGGAUUAGCUAGUUGGUGGGGUAAAAGCCUACCAAGGCGACGAUCCAUAGCUGGUCUGAGAGGACGACCAGCCACACUGGGACUGAGACACGGCCCAGACUCCUACGGGAGGCAGCAGUGGGGAAUCUUGGACAAUGGGCGCAAGCCUGAUCCAGCCAUGCCGCGUGAGUGAUGAAGGCCUUAGGGUUGUAAAACUCUUUCGCCGAGGACGAUAA
rnacentral:rRNA from 1 species